AUGGUUCCUCAGUUACAAUGGACGGCACAGGGACACAAGUUCAGUUCAGACAUGCGUGUCCUGCAACUUGGGGUCUAUGACGCAGUCCUUGGGGUGGAUUGGCUUGCCCAACAUAGCCCGAUGCAGUGUGAUUGGAACCUCAAGACAAUUCAGUUUGAUUGCGAAGGAACACCGGUGCAUCUCACUGGUGUCCGAUCAGACGAAACACCAGCUCUCACAGCCCUCGAUGCAGCUCAAUUAUGGCAAAUGCAUGAGGCGAACGAGAUCUGGGGUGCUGCCUUGGUGGACAUGCAGGCCCUGUCCUCCCACAAUACGGAGGAUCCUAUUGUCCCUGUAAUCCAACAAGUGUUGACAGAAUUCAGAGAUGUCUUCAAAGAGCCUACCACACUUCCCCCACACAGGCAAUAUGAUCACGCCAUCAAUUUGGAACCCGGAGCAGUCCCCGUCAACUGCCGACCCUACCGCUACUCGCCGCUGCAGAAAGACGAGAUAGAACGGCAAGUUUCAGAGAUGCUCCGCCAAGGCCUAAUCACCCACAGCAUGAGCCCGUUUGCAGCUCCGGUGCUGCUGGUAAAGAAGAAAGACGGCACUUGGAGGUUCUGCGUGGAUUACCGUCGCCUCAACACUAUUACUAUAAAGAACAAAUUUCCCCUGCCAAUCAUCGACGAGCUCUUGGACGAACUCGCAGGCGCUGCAUUCUUUUCCAAGGUUGAUUUACGAGCUGGGUAUCAUCAAAUACGAAUGAGAGAAGGUGAUGAAGAGAAGACUGCUUUCAAAACACAUCACGGGCACUUCCAAUUCAGAGUCAUGCCUUUCGGAGUCACGAACGGACCACCAACAUUCCAGUGCUUGAUAAACUCCAUCUUCUAUGGUCCGAAUCGUAAGUUUGUCUUUUCGUUCCUUGACGACAUUCUUGUGUUCAGCUGCUCUCUCCAGGAACAUGUGCAGCAUCUUCGCACUGUCUUCUCCAUUCUCCGUCAACAUCAACUAUAUGCCAAAGAGUCCAAGUGUUCCUUUGCUCAGCCUCGCAUCGAAUACCUGGGUCAUGUGAUCUCCAAGGAAGGUGUGGCCACUGAUCCCAGCAAGAUGAGUGCGAUGCGUGAGUGGCCUACUCCAACAAAUGCCACCGAGCCGCGCGGAUUCCUUGGGCUCACGGGCUAUUAUCGCAAAUUCGUUCCCCGUUAUGGAAUCAUCGCCAAGCCACUGACACAACUUCUCACCAAGAAAGGAUUCAUGUGGUCAACUCAAGCACAAGCGGCAUUCGACUUGCUCAAGGAUGCCAUGGUCAACACCCCCGUUCUUGCUCUGCCGGACUUCUCACGCCCCUUCUGCAUCGAGACCGACGCGUGCGACACCGGCGUGGGAGCCGUGCUGGUCCAGGAUGGCCACCCCGUGGCCUAUCUCAGCAAGGCUUUGGGGGUGCGCAAUCAGCGCCUCUCCAUCUAUGAGAAGGAGUUUCUCGCUGUCAUCAUGGCCGUCGAGAAGUGGCGACAUUACCUCCAACACGCUCCAUUUGUCAUCAUCACCGACCACAAGAGUCUAUGCAGCCUCGGCGACCAACAGUUGGACACAGAGCUGCAGCGUAAAGCCAUGUCAAAGCUAGUCGGACUCUAG
rnacentral:rRNA from 1 species